GGAAGGUUUAUUGCAUAUAAUAAAGGUUGUUUCCCUUCUUCUUAUUGAUUGAUAGUUUACUUGUAGGUGUGUCCAGAGAUUACGAGUGAGGUUAGCAGCAAGAGCAGUAUUUCCAUUGAGGCAUCCAUGCUUCGUGAGCGUGUUCUGUUCAUGAAUUUUCAGUAAUGGUUUGUAAAAUUCAGCACCAUUAGUACAACCAUAAAGAUAAAUCCUAAUCAUAACAUAGCACUGGAAAGGAACAGAAGAGAGAAUGUUUUGCCCAGAGCUAAGUUGUUAGGCCAGGAUUCAGGUUCAGAUGUGACAGCCUCAUAUCUCUGGAGUCCACUUCCACCCACAGCAGUAAACGUACAAUGUGUGUUACUUGGAAGAGGCACCACAUUGGGUAUAUCAGGAUCCAGCAAUUUGAAUUUGUUUCCUUACCUUCCUCUGGAUGAGAAAUUUGCAGGUGUUAGACUUGAGGUGCUACUUUUUUGCAUGAUUAGUUGUUGUUUUCUUCCUGCUGCUGUGACAGAAUUUAAAGUAAGCGUAUUAAUUAUCAGAUGGCUCCCCAUAAUACUCGUCUGCUUGGUUUUCAGUGACUGUAUUUGAAUAAUUGAGUUGACUUUCUGCUGCUCCCAGUACAUCGCCUCAAGUCUAUUGUUGUGCCUACAUCUUUCUUUUCCACUUAAAAUCGAGUGCAGACAUGACCUGAAGAUCCAGUUUUGUAAGAUGCUCGGAACCAUGAAGGCACUAUCGCUCUCCUACAGACCACACAAGAGAAAACCAGAUGGUGGCCUGUGAAAGAAAAGCUUCUUUUUUCUUCCUUUCCUUUUUAUUCUUCAAGAUGGAAAAACGAGAUGGAGGUUCACUAUCUGUUUCAUUUUCCUUGGAGUUUAGGAACACACCUACUCCCCUAUGGCAUUUUAUAUGACAGUGGAUUGUCUUACAGGAUAUGCUGUAAUGAAAGAUUCUGUGUCUGGGGCUGUGAUGUGUAUAUUAACUGGAUUGAUUUAGGUGCAGUGACAGGAUUUUCUCUCUUUAUUCUGCUCUGCUGAUUAGCUCCAUCCAGUCUGUAGGGCCCCAGAUGUAACAGCAGCUUAGUCAAUGGAUCAGGGAGAAGAGAGACGGUAAAAUCUAUACGCAUAUUUUCCCAUCUCCCUGCUAUGGCAGCUUUCUGACAGUGUGUUGGUAGGCGUUUGAUCCGAUCUGACUUCAGGUGGUGCCGGCAGUGGGAAUUCCACAUCUCAUAUUCCUGCCACCAAUUCAGAGGCUCUCUCUAAAGAGGAUUCUGUUAAAUCUCCAAAUACCAGAACCAAUUUUAAAACCAGCUGCUAUUUCAGAACAGACAAGGCCCUGGGGAUCAGGACUGCUGCUAUUGCUCUGCUCAGAGGAGGUCUCAGCUUUUGUGGUUAUAGGAAAGAUCACGGGUCCAGAAGCACCGUGCAAUAACUCCCUUUCUAUUUUUUCAUCUACAGCAACCGGAUGGAGAAAGAGAUCUUAUUCAAGUGGAUAAGCCAUGUGGCCAGCUUGCGGGGGCAUUCAGAGACAGUUGGCAAGAUAAGAUGCUUCAGGAGAGAUGCAGAACUCCGUGUGCAGUCUCUAUGAGGGAAUGCAGAAUGGCAGCAGCUCAGCGAGUGAAUAUAAAGGCCAUAUAAGGGAAGUAAAUGGACUGCUGUAGAGAUGCCAUUAGCAAAGCAAACACUGACUUGGGGACCUUGGCAUACACCAUGGAGGAGAUAAAUUGCAUGAAUAAAUGCAUACUUGUUUCCUUCUCCCUAGAUUUACAGAGUCAGAUGUAACCUAGAAACUGUUUACAUGUGUGAAACAGAAGUUUUUCUGUAGUCAUUUUAACGCCAAGCAAUUUCUACCCCUGUCUAAUCCCGGUGCUCUUAAUUUAAACGCAUCUAUCGUUGUUUCAUUGUAACCAAGGCCUUGGGCUAAUGAAACAACACCAAACUGGUUCUUUAAGCAAUUGCAGUUUACGACUGUACUCUCUCCUUCUCUCUCUUCAUGCCAAGAGCGCAGUUCCCAUGGUGGUAAAAGGGAAGCAGGAGGUGAAACACCCGAGUCAGGCUCUGGCUGGAGGCACCAGAACGGUCAGCAUGCAGCCACUCGCAGAAGCAGUGCUGAGCACUGGGGCAUUUUGCGGUGGAGGCUUGGAACCGUGCAGAGGUGGUGUGAGUGCUAGGAAGGCAUGCUGCAGAGCAGGCUCCAGUUCUCACACCUGGGACAGUCACCCACCCUAUGGGCACAGCCACGUUCAUGUUCUGGCGUGGCUCACUUUCAGGAUGAGUCUCCAGGUCAUCCUUUGCUCAGCCACGUUUUGUUUUACCCAGCAGGGAAGAGUGCACAGGGUGGAUGCUAUGCAGGUGGCACUGGACAAGAAGACAAGGCUUUAGAAGGGCAUCUAAUGGGUCUUGAGUGCUAGAGACCUAGGCUAGAGCAAAGCUAAAGAAAACCAUGUGGAAGCACAUGGAUAUCCAUCAGGUCUUCGGCACCAACAGAUUUGCAGGAGGGUAGAAUAAGAUGAUCUUCAAGGUCCCUUCCAGCCCUAACCAUUCUGUGGUUCUGUGACUGGGUCAGGCUGAUCUCUCACACUCGCUAACACAGACACGGCCUUUGUGGGUGCAGCUGGGCGGCUGUGGUUGUUUUGGGGGUAUGCCUUUAUUGUCUUCCUUGCAGAGCACAUCACUGCACACACCUUCUAGCACCAAAGCUGGAUUUCACGCAAUCACAGAAGUGUAGGGGUUGGAAGGGACCUCUGGAGAUCACGGAGUUCAACCCCCUGCUAAAGCAGGCUCCCUACAGCAGGCUGCAUCCAGAACAGAAUCACAGAAUAUUUCACCUUCUUUUAUUUGAAGCACUUUUCCUUCAGGAAUAGGCUUGAAACGAUAGGAUGGAGAACUAGAUUUUGCUGGACAAUUCUCAAUCCAUUUGUUAUCCUUUGAGAAAAUAUACAUUUCCACUCAUGUUCUGAUUUUAAGACUUCACAUUACAGAGCAAAAAUAGUCUUCUUCCAUCCAAUAAAGUGGCUUUGUAAUUUAAUUCUGAACAUGACUGUUGUUACAAUUAAAUGUUGUAAACACAGACUGAGUGCAAUAAACCUCGCUUCCAUUUAGCAUUAAUAAUAUUAAUGAUCAGUACUUAAAUCACACGCGAUCUUCCAGGACUGUAAAAGAAACAUUACCAAAGAGAUUUUCCCUGUCUGGUGCCGACAUAAUUUAAACUCGGCAUAAAAUUGUCUCCUGUUGGAGGGAAUCUAUUGGCGCUGCAGGGCGGGGAGGAAGAAGCAGAAAGAGGAAAUCUCUCUCCCAGCGGAGACCAUCCCUCCUCGCAACCCCUCCCCAAAACUUUCCCACUCCAGACCCCGGCCAAGGCCUGGGGGCUCCCACCCCUCCGCCCGACCUCCCCCAGCCGGAGGAGCAGCCCGGUAGUCCGCUCACAUUGCCCCUCGCUGUAGCCCGGCAGCUCCCAAACUGUCGGAAGCAAAUCGCUGGCUCAGCAGCUCGCAUGCACACACGCAGACACACGCACUGCUCACACGCACACCACCCGCUUAGCCCGUAUUUGCCCAUGUAAAGGC
ensembl:lncRNA